UGUCGUCUAUGCUUCUCAGGAAACUUCGUCCUGUGUGUGUGAAGGGGAAGAAAGUUGCACGAACACAACAGAAAUUACAUCCAAGCUAGUUAGGGAAAAUAGUUAUCGCUGGCAGGAGUUCGUUGGCCCAGCAGUGGUUAGGAAAAACUAUCAGCAUCGGUGAUGUGCUGACGGACGCCAUGGAUGAUGGAUGAUGACAUGACAGCGACCUACAAAGACAAAAGACCUUCCCGGCAGCUGCUGGUUGGAGUACCGUGGAUGUACUAACUACUAGUGGAAGUUGAAGUAAGACAUGUCCGCUCUGGGUUAGUGCUAUCAACACUUAUGCAAAUUCGCUGACAAUGAAGCGUGCAGGUAGUAGGAGAAACAAAGAAAGGCAGAACGCGAGAAUAGUGAUGCCAUUAGCAACGAGACAACUGAAGGUGAACCACGAUCAAAAGGUUGCUACGCUCUGACACUGGUGAUUCUGAAACGCCUCAGCUGAACGUGCUCCCCGUACAGUGUAUCAUGCAGAUUGAAGAAGAAAGUAUGUAAAGGAAAGGAAAAUAUCACACAGAAGAUUUUCCUGUCAACGAAUCAAUUUCCCCUGCACAGACUUAUGCUUUUGUGCCAAUGGGCCAUAUUUUUGACCGUGUGAGGGCGCUCUCAAUCACUUCCGGGGGUAUAUUCAUUCAUACCCAAAACA